UUCCUAGUAUACAUGGUUUUCCAAGUACCA
rnacentral:piRNA from 1 species